rnacentral:rRNA from 1 species
CACGUAGGGCGCAAGCGUUGUCCGGAAUUAUUGGGCGUAAAGGAGCUCGUAGGCGGUCUGUUGCGUCCGCUGUGAAAACCCGGGGCUUAACCCCUGGCUUGCAGUGGAUACGGACAGACUAGAGGCAGGUAGGGGAGAAUGGAAUUCCCGGUGUAGCGGUGAAAUGCGCAGAUAUCGGGAGGAACACCGGUGGCGAAGGCGGUUCUCUGGGCCUGACCUGACGCUGAGGAGCGAAAGCGUGGGGAGCGAACAGG